rnacentral:rRNA from 1 species
GAUGAACGCUGGCGGCGUGCUUAACACAUGCAAGUCGAACGGAAAGGCUCCUGCUUGCAGGGGUACUCGAGUGGCGAACGGGUGAGUAACACGUGGGUGAUCUGCCCUGCACUUCGGGAUAAGCCUGGGAAACUGGGUCUAAUUCCGGAUAGGACGAUGGUUUGGAUGCCAUUGUGGAAAGUUUUUCGGUGUGGGAUGAGCUCGCGGCCUAUCAGCUUGUUGGUGGGGUAAUGGCCUACCAAGGCGUCGACGGGUAGCCGGCCUGAGAGGGUGUACGGCCACAUUGGGCCUGAGAUACGGCCCAGACUCCUACGGGAGGCAGCAGUGGGGAAUAUUGCACAAUGGGCGCAAGCCUGAUGCAGCGACGCCGCGUGGGGGAUGACGGCCUUCGGGUUGUAAACUCCUUUCGCUAGGGACGAAGCGCAAGUGACGGUACCUGGAGAAGAAGCACCGGCUAACUACGUG